UAAAUUUCUUUUUGCCCUGCUUUCUCC
rnacentral:piRNA from 1 species